UACAGAGGUCUCAAGCGUUGUUCGGAUUCAUUGGGCGUAAAGGGUGCGCAGGCGGCCAAGUGUGUGAGGCGUGAAAGCCUGGAGCUUAACUCCAGAAUUGCACCUCAAACUACAUGGCUAGAGCAUUGGAGAGGGUAGCAGAAUUCAUGGUGUAGCAGUGAAAUGCGUAGAUAUCAUGAGGAAUACCAGAGGCGAAGGCGGCUACCUGGACAAUUGCUGACGCUCAGGCACGAAAGCGUGGGGAGCAAAAGGG
rnacentral:rRNA from 1 species